rnacentral:rRNA from 1 species
UACGUAGGGGCUAGCGUUAUCCGGAAUUACUGGGCGUAAAGGGUGCGUAGGUGGUUUCUUAAGUCAGAGGUGAAAGGCUACGGCUCAACCGUAGUAAGCCUUUGAAACUGAGAAACUUGAGUGCAGGAGAGGAGAGUAGAAUUCCUAGUGUAGCGGUGAAAUGCGUAGAUAUUAGGAGGAAUACCAGUUGCGAAGGCGGCUCUCUGGACUGUAACUGACACUGAGGCACGAAAGCGUGGGGAGCAAACAGGAUUAGAUACCCCGUACGUCCUCGAG